CAGCAGUGGGGAAUAUUGGACAAUGGGCGCAAGCCUGAUCCAGCCAUGCCGCGUGAGUGAUGAAGGCCCUAGGGUUGUAAAGCUCUUUCAACGGUGAAGAUAAUGACGGUAACCGUAGAAGAAGCCCCGGCUAACUUCGUGCCAGCAGCCGCGGUAAUACGAAGGGGGCUAGCGUUGUUCGGAAUUACUGGGCGUAAAGCGCACGUAGGCGGAUACUUAAGUCAGGGGUGAAAUCCCGGGGCUCAACCCCGGAACUGCCUUUGAUACUGGGUAUCUGGAGUCCGGAAGAGGUGAGUGGAAUUCCGAGUGUAGAGGUGAAAUUCGUAGAUAUUCGGAGGAACACCAGUGGCGAAGGCGGCUCACUGGUCCGGUACUGACGCUGAGGUGCGAAAGCGUGGGGAGCAAACAGGAUUAGA
rnacentral:rRNA from 1 species